UACGAAGGAUGCAAGCGUUAUCCGGAUUUAUUGGGUUUAAAGGGUGCGUAGGCGGACUUAUAAGUCAGUGGUGAAAUCUCGUUGCUUAACAACGAACGUGCCAUUGAUACUGUAGGUCUUGAGUACAGAUGCCUUGGCGGGAAUGUGUCAUGUAGCGGUGAAAUGCAUAGAUAUGACACAGAACACCAUUGCGAAGGCAGCUGACGAAACUGUAACUGACGCUGAGGUACGAAAGCGUGGGGAUCAAACAGG
rnacentral:rRNA from 1 species